UAUACCUAACAUGUAUUCUGUCCAUUUAAAGCACAUAAAAGAAGCAUAAACAAUUGUUUGAAACGCACAUCACAGACCGUGCUUAUGUUGGUAUUCAAAACUUUGCGGCAAAAUGUAGCAUUGCUUUUGUUUGUUGUCUUGGUAACUACAAAAUUAUUUCCUGUUACAUAUAAAAUGACGAUAGAACUGCCCGUUUUUCGUUUAUACAUAUAUGACGGAAGGCUAACUGAGUGUUAACAAUGACGGGCAGAUUUGUUUUCAAACUGUGUAUCAACUACAAACUCGACCAAUGAUCUCUCUGACGCUAGGUGGCAGUGUGUCGGGAACAGCGAUGUAAAUGCAGCAGACUAAAAACAACGACGAAACGUUUGCUUUCUCCUGCUGUAGCGUUUCUGUACGCGGGGAUUUUGAGAUCGCAGUGUUUACUCUCGCGAAAUUUAGUCUUAUGAGAAAGCAUCUGUGAAAAUGCUGCUGAAGAAUAUCUGCUUCCGUCCAAUUACAUUUGAGCCGUAAUAGAAGUGGCUAUGUUUAUAUGCAGCUGUCACAGUCAUAUGAGAGGUUUUUUAAGAUUUGAUACCCGUAGAGCUGCUUUGUGAUAUUGGAUUCUCCGAAGAAAAAUCGUUUUUAGUUAUGUUAUUUUAUUCACUUACGGUCCACGAUGAUUAAGUGUAAAUCCAGCAAAUCUUCCAUGGUCAGUGGAGUUCAGUCAAACAUUUCUGCCUUUUUCGUCUCAAAGGUUUCACCAAAGUCACCUACAAAAAUGGCAGCUGGAAUUACAAGAGUCCCUGUUUCAGUGAAGACUGGUUUUGUGCAGGAUAAAAGUGUCCCCUGCUCUCCAACCCCUCCUGCUGUCCCAGAGACACCUGACAGUCUGAGGAGCGAGAACCCUUCAGACACUUCAUAUGAGAACCGCUCACCGGUCUCCCGUGGCCUGCUUACUAAAGGUGUCAGGGGUAAACCUAGCCUGAUGGCACGCAAGCUGAUGCAGCUGCAGAGAAACAGCAGUCUAGAGCCAAAAGACUCUUUUGAGCUUAAGAAUGGAGUAAGUCACUCUGGCUCUGUGAAGAGGUUGUUGCACAGCUCUGAGAACAUCCAGAGUGCAAAGCAGUCCAGGACCAUGCAAGUUCAGAAGCUUCCCGAUUGUGACACAGGCUUACCAAGGGCCCCUCAAAAGGAGUCUUCAGGGACUUUACAGAGAGCAUUCUCAAAGAGUCCAGAGAAAAAAAACAAAGCUGAGUCUAUCAGUUUUGAAAGUAGCCGAUUGGCAACUGGGCCUUGCGUUAAAAAAAAAGGAAAAUAA
ensembl:lncRNA